AGAAACCGAAUUUUAAAAGGAAUGGAAAUUCAGGUCAUGACAUGUGUGUAAGUAUGAAUUAAUUUAGACUGUGAAACUACGAAUGGCUCAUUAAAUCAAUUAUAGUUCGUUUGAUGGUAUCUGCCUACUCAGAUAAGCAUAGUAAUUCUAGAGCUAAUACGUGUAACAAACCCCAACUUUUGGAAGAGAUGCAUUUAUUAGAUAAAAGGUCAAUAUGGGCUUUUCCUGUUGUUCUGAUAAUUCAUGAUAACUUGAUAGAUCGCAUGGCCUUCGUACCGAUGACGUAUCAUUCAAAUUUCUGCCCUAUCAACUUUCGAUGGCAGGAGAGUGGCCUACUAUGGUAGUGAUGGGUGAUGGAGAAUUAGGGUUGGAUAUUGGAGAGGAAGCCUGAGAAAUAGCUACCACAUCUAAGGAAGAUAGUAGGCGCGAAAAUUACACAAUCCUGACAUGGGGAGGUAGUGAUAAUAAAUAAUAAUACCGGGCUCACUGAGUCUGGUAAUUGGAAUGAGUACAAUCUAAAUCCUUUAACGAGGAUCCAUUGGAGGGCAAGUCUAGUGCCAGCAACUAUGGUAAUUCCAACUCCAAUAGCACAUAUUUAAGUUGUUGCAGUUAAAAAGCUCGUGGUUGGAUUUUGGGUUCGGUUGACCGGUCUGCCUUUGGUGUGCACCUGUCAUACAUCCCCUUCUUCCUGCGAUGCACUCUAGGCCUUAAUUGGUCGGGUCGUGCCUCUAGCACUGUUACUUUAAAGAAAUUAGAGCUCUUAAAGCAAGUCUACACUCUGGAUAUCUUAGAAUGGGAUAACAUCAUAGGAUUUCGAUCAUAUUAUAUUGGCCUUCGCGAUCGGAGUAAUGAUUAAUAGGGACAGUCAUAGGAAUUCGUAUUUCAUAGUUAGAGGUGAAAUUCUUGGAUUUAUAAAAGAUGAACAACUGCGAAAGCAUUUUCCAAUGAUGUUUUCAUUAAUUAAGAACGAAAGUUUGGGACUCGGAGACGGUCAAAUACUGUGCUAGUCUCAACCUUAAACGAUUCUGACCAGGGAUCAGUGGAUGUUACUUUCAGGACUUCGCUGGCACCUUAUGAGAAAUCAAAGUUUUUGGGUUCCGGGGGGAGUAUGGUCACAAGGCUAAAACUUAAAGGAAUUAACAGAAGGUCACCACCAGGAGUGGAGCCUGUGGCUUAAUUUGACUCAACAUGAGGAAACUUACCAGGUCCAGACAUAAUAAGGAUUGAGAGAUUGAGAGAUCUUUCACAAUUCAAUGGGUGGGGGAGAGUUGUAAUACCCGACAUAGGAAAGUUUUGUGUGCAUUUAAGUUAAUACAUAAUCAUACAUUAAUUAAUAUUAAUUUAACUCAUAAGUGUGUGGUGAAUUUCAUUAUAAAUGUUGGAAGAUAUUAAAAUAAAUAAGAAAUGAUUUUGGUAAAGUUUGGAAUCAAUUGAAAUUGUUAAAGUUGGAAUCUAGAAGUUAAAGACCCUAAUUACCAGAAAUAGAAUCCUUAUUACCAGAAAUGAAGAGAGAAAAUAAGAAUUUUUUUCUCUAGAAAGUUGGUUGAGACUUUGGUUAACUAUUGGAAAUAGUAGGAUGAUUACCGAAAAUAGGAUGAGAAUGGAAAUAUA
rnacentral:rRNA from 1 species